rnacentral:rRNA from 1 species
UACGUAGGGGGCAAGCGUUGUCCGGAUUUAUUGGGCGUAAAGAGCGUGUAGGCGGCUAGAUAGGUCCGUUGUGAAAACUCGAGGCUCAACCUCGAGACGUCGAUGGAAACCAUCUGGCUAGAGUCCGGAAGAGGAGAGUGGAAUUCCUGGUGUAGCGGUGAAAUGCGCAGAUAUCAGGAAGAACACCCGCGGCGAAGGCGGCUCUCUGGUACGUGACUGACGCUGAGACGCGAAAGCGUGGGGAGCAAACAGG